UACGGAGGAUCCGAGCGUUAUCCGGAUUUAUUGGGUUUAAAGGGUGCGCAGGCGGGAGAUUAAGUCGGCGGUGAAAUUUUGCAGCUCAACUGUAAAAGUGCCUUCGAAACUGGUUUCCUUGAGUGUAGAUGAAGUAGGCGGAAUUUGUGGUGUAGCGGUGAAAUGCAUAGAUAUCACGAGGAACUCCGAUUGCGCAGGCGGCUUACUAAACUACUACUGACGCUCAGGCACGAAGGCGUGGGUAUCAAACAGGAUUAGAUACCCGGGUAGUCCCU
rnacentral:rRNA from 1 species